rnacentral:rRNA from 1 species
AUUGAACGCUGGCGGCAGGCCUAACACAUGCAAGUCGAGCGGUAGAGAGGAGCUUGCUCCUCUUGAGAGCGGCGGACGGGUGAGUAAUGCCUAGGAAUCUGCCUGGUAGUGGGGGAUAACGUUCGGAAACGGACGCUAAUACCGCAUACGUCCUACGGGAGAAAGCAGGGGACCUUCGGGCCUUGCGCUAUCAGAUGAGCCUAGGUCGGAUUAGCUAGUUGGUGAGGUAAUGGCUCACCAAGGCGACGAUCCGUAACUGGUCUGAGAGGAUGAUCAGUCACACUGGAACUGAGACACGGUCCAGACUCCUACGGGAGGCAGCAGUGGGGAAUAUUGGACAAUGGGCGAAAGCCUGAUCCAGCCAUGCCGCGUGUGUGAAGAAGGUCUUCGGAUUGUAAAGCACUUUAAGUUGGGAGGAAGGGCAGUAAAUUAAUACUUUGCUGUUUUGACGUUACCGACAGAAUAAGCACCGGCUAACUCUGUGCCAGCAGCCGCGGUAAUACAGAGGGUGCAAGCGUUAAUCGGAAUUACUGGGCGUAAAGCGCGCGUAGGUGGUUUGUUAAGUUGGAUGUGAAAUCCCCGGGCUCAACCUGGGAACUGCAUUCAAAACUGACUGACUAGAGUAUGGUAGAGGGUGGUGGAAUUUCCUGUGUAGCGGUGAAAUGCGUAGAUAUAGGAAGGGACACCAGUGGCGAAGGGCGACCACCUGGACUAAUACUGACACUGAGGUGCGAAAGCGUGGGAGCAAACAGGAUUAGAUACCCUGGUAGUCCACGCCGUAAACGAUGUCAACUAGCCGUUGGAAGCCUUGAGCUUUUAGUGGCGCAGCUAACGCAUUAAGUUGACCGCCUGGGGAGUACGGCCGCAAGGUUAAAACUCAAAUGAAUUGACGGGGGCCCGCACAAGCGGUGGAGCAUGUGGUUUAAUUCGAAGCAACGCGAAGAACCUUACCAGGCCUUGACAUCCAAUGAACUUUCUAGAGAUAGAUUGGUGCCUUCGGGAACAUUGAGACAGGUGCUGCAUGGCUGUCGUCAGCUCGUGUCGUGAGAUGUUGGGUUAAGUCCCGUAACGAGCGCAACCCUUGUCCUUAGUUACCAGCACGUCAUGGUGGGCACUCUAAGGAGACUGCCGGUGACAAACCGGAGGAAGGUGGGGAUGACGUCAAGUCAUCAUGGCCCUUACGGCCUGGGCUACACACGUGCUACAAUGGUCGGUACAGAGGGUUGCCAAGCCGCGAGGUGGAGCUAAUCCCACAAAACCGAUCGUAGUCCGGAUCGCAGUCUGCAACUCGACUGCGUGAAGUCGGAAUCGCUAGUAAUCGCGAAUCAGAAUGUCGCGGUGAAUACGUUCCCGGGCCU